rnacentral:rRNA from 1 species
UACGAAGGGUGCAAACGUUGCUCGGAAUCAUUGGGCGUAAAGAGCGUGUAGGCGGUCCGGUAAGUCCGCUGUGAAAGUCGGGGGCUCAACCCUCGAAUGCCGGUGGAUACUGUCGGGCUAGAGUGCGGAAGAGGCGAGUGGAAUUCCUGGUGUAGCGGUGAAAUGCGCAGAUAUCAGGAGGAACACCUAUUGCGAAGGCAGCUCGCUGGGACGUAACUGACGCUGAGACGCGAAAGCGUGGGGAGCAAACAGG